ACUACUGACCUAUUAUGAACCGCACACUGACACAGUUAUGCAAUGCAACGUUCAGACAGACUCCUUAUAAACCAUUUCAAAGCUCGGUAAAACCCACAAACCGUGUUAUAAUAAAGAUGUAUAUGUGCUCCCACCACAGAGUUUCGAAGAUUUAGGCUUUUGCUAUACAGUGGAAAAUCAAGAUCUAGCCAAGUCACAUUAUAGUGAAUAUGAUCCAAUGCGUUAUACAGCAUCGUUCCAUAACGCACCCGCAAACACCAAACUAUGUAGGAGUCAACAAAACCAUGCCAAAUUCACCAACCUGUCAGGGCAAGAAUAUGGAAACAGCCCGAGACCCGCGACCAUUGGUGAAAAACGACGACAGUCUCUUUAUAUAAGGACGUCAUCGCCAUAACCAGCGGAACACGGGGUGGUCGAAUCACUACAAAAGACUGGAAAAUGAAUGGAGCGUCGUCAGUGGUUGGUUCACAGGGGCUCAAACGGCUGGCUGUUAUCUAAACGGUUAUACAAGUGUGUGUACUGUCAAUGUGGGUGAAUUACUUAACCAUAUCCUUGCAUGGUGAUACGCAUAGGUGUUUUCCAGCAUUACACGUAUGUUUGGCAGUAUGAACUAUCCCGUUUGUUAGAAAAUGAUACAUGUUCAUAAACAUUAUUAGACAAUGCUUUGUUUUUAGAAAAGUUGCAAUUAUGCACGACUGUUAAUGCGUAAUAAUACGCUAUUUUAUCGUAUUUCAGCAUAGGGUAAAAAAACAAAAACAAGAUACAAACAUUAUACGAAAGCAUGUUGGAAUGUCAAAUAAAUCUCCAUGUCUUCUUUUAGGCUGUUGAUGUAAGGUUCUGUAUUUAUUUUCUUAGUCAACCUUGUGUUCUGUUUCGUUGUGUUCUUGAUUGUAGCCCUGUUUUUAAUUUUUGCUCAUUGAUUUCACCUUGUGUUAGUUACUCACCUGGUCUCAUCAACUCCUUAUUUAGUUCAGUUCAUUCUGUUUAUGCCUUUGUGAGGUAUUGUUCUUUUUGACUCUACUAAGCCUUUUCCUAGCUGGUUUGUGAGAACCAGUUAUAGCCUUCAGUCCUAGUUGAUUCACUGCCUGUUUUCCAACCUGUGUAUUGCCUGCCUGUGACCACGAAUCCUGCCUUCUGAGAAGGCGAAAUAUCCACCUGCCGCGCUCUGCGCGUGAAUCUACAUAUUUCUCUCCCUGAAUAUGCAUUACACUUGAAACAGUGAACGUUUAUCCAGACGCAGAGCAAGCAAAGCGUUCCUAGAAAGUUGUUGGUCCAUUUAUCAUGCGAUGAUGAAAAUUGUCUCUGGAAUAUGGGCCUACUACUGUUGCACAAACGGGAGACAAUCCUGCUCUUUGUCAGUAAGAAGUACCGUGUUCGCAAUUACAAAUGUACUAUUUUCCUGUGGGCAUAUGUCAGCACACGCUUAUGGUGCAACAUAGUAGACUUGA